rnacentral:rRNA from 1 species
UACGAAGGGGGCUAGCGUUGUUCGGAAUUACUGGGCGUAAAGCGAGUGUAGGUGGUUGUCAUAGUCAGGUGUGAAAGCCUUGAGCUCAACUCAAGAAAUGCACUUGAUACUGGGCGACUAGAGGACCGGAGAGGAUAGUGGAAUUCCCAGUGUAGUGGUGAAAUACGUAGAGAUUGGGAAGAACACCAGUGGCGAAGGCGGCUAUCUGGACGGUUUCUGACACUAAGACUCGAAAGCGUGGGGAGCAAACAGG